rnacentral:rRNA from 1 species
AACGUUGCCGGCAGGCCUAAAACAUGCAAGUCGAACGGUAACAGCGGAAGCUUGCUUCCGGCUGACGAGUGGCGGACGGGUGAGUAACACGUAGGAAUCUACCUAGUAGUGGGGGACAACCCGGGGAAACCCGGGCUAAUACCGCAUACGCUCUACGGAGGAAAGCAGGGGAUCUUCGGACCUUGCGCUAUUGGAGGAGCCUGCGUCGGAUUAGCUAGUUGGUGGGGUAAAGGCCUACCAAGGCGACGAUCCGUAGCUGGUCUGAGAGGACGAUCAGCCACACUGGAACUGAGACACGGUCCAGACUCCUACGGGAGGCAGCAGUUAGGAAUCUUGGGCAAUGGGCGCAAGCCUGACCCAGCCAUGCCGCGUGUGUGAAGAAGGCCUUCGGGUUGUAAAGCACUUUCAGCGGUGAAGAAAAGCUCAGGGCUAAUACCUCUGAGUCUUGACGUUAACCACAGAAGAAGCACCGGCUAACUCCGUGCCAGCAGCCGCGGUAAUACGGAGGGUGCGAACGUUAAUCGGAAUCACUGGGCGUAAAGCGCGCGUAGGCGGUUCGUUAAGUGGGAUGUGAAAUCCCCGGGCUUAACCUGGGAAUUGCAUUUCAAACUGGCGGACUAGAGUGCGGUAGAGGGAGGUAGAAUUUCCUGUGUAGCGGUGAAAUGCGUAGAUAUAGGAAGGAAUACCAGUGGCGAAGGCGGCCUCCUGGAUCGACACUGACGCUGAGGCGCGAAAGCGUGGGGAGCAAACAGGAUUAGAUACCCUGGUAGUCCACGCCGUAAACGAUGAGAACUAGCCGUUGGAUCCCUUGAGGGUUUAGUGGCGUAGCUAACGCGAUAAGUUCUCCGCCUGGGG